UAUGAAGAACGCAGCGAAAUGCGAUAAGUAAUGUGAAUUGCAGAAUUCAGUGAAUCAUCGAAUCUUUGAACGCACAUUGCGCCCGCCAGUAUUCUGGCGGGCAUGCCUGUUCGAGCGUCAUUUCAACCAUCAAGCCCUGCUUGCGUUGGGGUCCUGCGGCUGCCCGCAGGCCCUGAAAACCAGUGGCGGGCUCGCUAGUCACACCGAGCGCAGUAAUACAUCUCGCUUUGGGCGUGCGGCGGGUUCUUGCCGUUAAACACCCCCUUUUUACCAAGGUUGACCUCGGAUCAGGUAGGAAUACCCGCUGAACUUAAGCAUAUCAAUAAGCGGAGGA
rnacentral:misc_RNA from 1 species